rnacentral:rRNA from 1 species
AUUGAACGCUGGCGGCAGGCCUAACACAUGCAAGUCGAGCGAGCGGCGGACGGGUGAGUAAUGUAUGGGGACUGCCUGAUAGAGGGGGAUAACUACUGGAAACGGUGGCUAAUACCGCAUACUAUCGGAUAACCCAUAUGGGAUUAGCUAGUAGGUGGGGUAAAGGCUCACCUAGGCGAAGAUCCCUAGCUGGUCUGAGAGGAGGAUCAGCCACAAUGGGACUGAGAAACGGCCCAGACGCCUACGGAGGCAGCAGUGGGGAAGAUUGCACAAUGGGCGCAAGCCGGAUGCAGCCAUGCCGCUUGGAGGAAGAAGGCCGUAGGGUUGUAAAGGACGUUCAGCGGGGAGGCGUUACCCGCAGAAGAAGCACCGGCUAACUCCGUGCCAGCAGCCGCGGUAAUAC